rnacentral:rRNA from 1 species
GACGAACGCUGGCGGCGUGCCUAAUACAUGCAAGUAGAACGCUGAAGGAGGAGCUUGCUUCUCUGGAUGAGUUGCGAACGGGUGAGUAACGCGUAGAUAACCUGCCUGGUAGCGGGGGAUAACUAUUGGAAACGAUAGCUAAUACCGCAUAAUAGUAGAUGUUGCAUGACAUUUGCUUAAAAGGUGCAAUUGCAUCACUACCAGAUGGACCUGCGUUGUAUUAGCUAGUUGGUGGGGUAACGGCUCACCAAGGCGACGAUACAUAGCCGACCUGAGAGGGUGAUCGGCCACACUGGGACUGAGACACGGCCCAGACUCCUACGGGAGGCAGCAGUAGGGAAUCUUCGGCAAUGGACGGAAGUCUGACCGAGCAACGCCGCGUGAGGGAAGAAGGUUUUCGGAUCGUAAAGCUCUGUUGUAAGAGAAGAACGAGUGUGAGAGUGGAAAGUUCACACUGUGACGGUAUCUUACCAGAAAGGGACGGCUAACUACGUG